rnacentral:rRNA from 1 species
CCUACGGGAGGCAGCAGUGAGGAAUAUUGGUCAAUGGAAGAGAUCCUGAACCAGCCAAGCCGCGUGCAGGAAGACGGCCCUAUGAGUUGUAAACCUCUUUUGUCCGAGAACAAACCCCGGUACGCGUCUCUGUCUGCGUGUAUCCGACGAAUAAGCAUCGGCUAACUCCGUGCCAGCAGCCGCGGUAAUACGGAGGAUUCGAGCGUUAUCCGGAUUUAUUGGGUUUAAAGGGUGCGUAGGCGGUCCGUUAAGUCAGAGGUUAAAUCUCGUGGCUCAACCCCGGUAGUGCCGUUGAUAUUGGCAGACUAGAGAGGGGGAGCGGUAGGCGGAAUGUGUGGUGUAGCGGUGAAAUGCAUAGAGAUCGCGCAGAACUCCGAUUGCGAAGGCAGCGUACCGGGGUCAGUCUGACGUUGAGGCACGAAAGCGUGGGGAGCGAACAGGAUUAGAUACCCGUGUAGUC